rnacentral:rRNA from 1 species
AGCGAACGCUGGCGGCAGGCUUAACACAUGCAAGUCGAACGCCCCGCAAGGGGAGUGGCAGACGGGUGAGUAACACGUGGGAACGUACCCUUUGGUUCGGAAUAACUUGGGGAAACUCAAGCUAAUACCGGAUAAGCCCUUAUGGGGAAAGGUUUACUGCCGAAGGAUCGGCCCGCGUCUGAUUAGCUAGUUGGUGAGGUAACGGCUCACCAAGGCGACGAUCAGUAGCUGGUCUGAGAGGAUGAUCAGCCACACUGGGACUGAGACACGGCCCAGACUCCUACGGGAGGCAGCAGAGGGGAAUAUUGGACAAUGGGGGCAACCCUGAUCCAGCCAUGCCGCGUGAGUGAUGAAGGCCUUAGGGUUGUAAAGCUCUUUUACCCGGGACGAUAAUGACUGUACCGGGAGAAUAAGCCCCGGCUAACUUCGUGCCAGCCGCCGCUGUAA